UACGAAGGGGGGCUAGCGUUGCUCGGAAUCACUGGGCGUAAAGCGCACGUAGGCGGGUCCUUAAGUCAGGGGUGAAAUCCUGGAGCUCAACUCCAGAACUGCCUUUGAUACUGAGGAUCUCGAGUUCGGGAGAGGUGAGUGGAACUGCGAGUGUAGAGGUGAAAUUCGUAGAUAUUCGCAAGAACACCAGUGGCGAAGGCGGCUCACUGGCCCGAUACUGACGCUGAGGUGCGAAAGCGUGGGGAGCAAACAGG
rnacentral:rRNA from 1 species